rnacentral:rRNA from 1 species
GGUCUGAGAGGAUGAUCAGCCACACUGGAACUGAGACACGGUCCAGACUCCUACGGGAGGCAGCAGUGGGGAAUAUUGGACAAUGGGCGCAAGCCUGAUCCAGCCAUACCGCGUGGGUGAAGAAGGCCUUCGGGUUGUAAAGCCCUUUUGUUGGGAAAGAAAUCCAGCCGGCUAAUACCUGGUUGGGAUGACGGUACCCAAAGAAUAAGCACCGGCUAACUUCGUGCCAGCAGCCGCGGUAAUACGAAGGGUGCAAGCGUUACUCGGAAUUACUGGGCGUAAAGCGUGCGUAGGUGGUUAUUUAAGUCCGUUGUGAAAGCCCUGGGCUCAACCUGGGAACUGCAGUGGAUACUG